rfam:Ailuropoda melanoleuca scaffold1215_66, whole genome shotgun sequence.
GCCUGGCUGGCUCAGUCAGUAGAGCAUGUGACUCUUGAUCUUGAGGUUGUGGGUUUCAGUCCCAUGUUGGGUG